GACGAACGCUGGCGGCGUGCCUAACACAUGCAAGUCGAGCGAAUGAAGUUCCUUCGGGACUGGAUUUAGCGGCGGACGUGUGAGUAACACGUGGGCAACCUGCCUCAUAGAGGGGAAUAGCCUCCCGAAAGGGAGAUUAAUACCGCAUAAGAUUGUAGUACCGCAUGAUACAGCAAUUAAAGGAGCAAUCCGCUAUGAGAUGGGCCCGCGGCGCAUUAGCUAGUUGGUGAGGUAAUGGCUCACCAAGGCGACGAUGCGUAGCCGACCUGAGAGGGUGAUCGGCCACAUUGGGACUGAGACACGGCCCAGACUCCUACGGGAGGCAGCAGUGGGGAAUAUUGCACAAUGGGGGAAACCCUGAUGCAGCAACGCCGCGUGAGUGAUGACGGCCUUCGGGUUGUAAAGCUCUGUCUUCAGGGACGAUAAUGACGGUACCUGAGGAGGAAGCCACGGCUAACUACGUG
rnacentral:rRNA from 1 species